AAAAAAAAGAGAGAAAAAGAGGGAAAGGAGAUCAAGGAACCGGAAACGUCGAGAUUAUAUUGGUUAUAUUGUUAAGCAUCAUAGGAACUCAUUGAAUAGAUUGGGAUAGUGUGUUGGUUGGUUUGAUCUGAACUUAAGGGAAGCUAUGUACCACCUAAUUGGUCUGUGUCUCACUGUGCCAAAUGAAGUUCAGACCCGCCAGGAAGGGAUCGAUCGAUCCCAGGAGGGGAUUCUUUAUCUGAUUGAAUUCUUUGUUUACUCUACUGUUGUUUACUCAAUUACCCUAUCCUCGGGAAUUCUUUAUCUGAUUGAAUUCUUUAUUUACUCUACUGUUGUUUACUGCAUCUUGUCAUCUGUUGCUUAGUUUCUACAAUUCUUUACUGUUACUCGACCUGAUACUCGACUACCCAGUUGUCUGGCAAGAGACUGUACAGUCGAGUAUCCCUGUUAUACUUUUUGUCUGUUACUCGACCUGUCACUCGACCUCACUCAGUGCUCUGUAAAGAGCUGUGUUGGUCGAGUGUUUUAUUGUUUCUGCUUGAAUUUCUGUUUUUUGCAUGUUCACUUAGAACUGCUAGAACACACCAAAACCUGUUAUUGCUUGGCUUGACUUAGUGACUUCUGAUCACAUCUUGAUUGUUAGCAUCACACCCAUUUGGAUUGACAACCUAAAAUACUACAACGAUAUGAUAGUGCUUUAGGUUUAAUGGACUAAAAACCUAUUAUCAAUUUGGCGCCGUUGCCAAUUGGGUGUUUGUUUGUUACAUUUAAGAUUUCAGAUUUACUUAGAUUAAGUUCUAUUU
rnacentral:sRNA from 1 species